AGAUCAGGAUGAGUGGCAAUAUU
rnacentral:miRNA from 1 species